GAGUAUCCACUGGAGGGCAAGUCUGGUGCCAGCAGCCGCGGUAAUUCCAGCUCCAGUAGCGUAUAUUAAAGUUGUUGCGGUUAAAAAGCUCGUAGUUGGAUCUGUGUUUCGAGCCGUCGGUUCGCCGCCUGUCGGCGUUAACUGACGCGUCUUCGAAACGUCCUGCCGGUUGGUGGCGGUCGCGCAUUUUUGUUUUCGGACGUUGAUGGCCAGCGACGCACCAGUGUCUUCACCCGUUCCCGAUGUUCUUUAAUGAAUGUCGAGUCGGGCCGGCACGUUUACUUUGAAUCAAACUGAGUGCUCAAGGCAGGCGCAAUUUACCGCCCGAAAGAUCUUGCAUGGAAUAAUGGAAUAGGACCUCGGUUUUAUUUUGUUGGUUUCCGGAAUCCCGAGGUAAUGAUAAAUGGGAACUGACGGGGGCAUUAGUAUUGCGGCGUUAGAGGUGAAAUUCUUGGAUCGUCGCAAGACUAACUAAAGCGAAAGCAUUUGCCAAGGAUGUUUUCAUUAAUCAAGAACGAAAGUUAGAGGUUCGAAGGCGAUCAGAUACCGCCCUAGUUCUAACCAUAAACGAUGCCAGCCGGCGAUCCGCGGGGGUUGAUUUAAAAGAUCCAGCGGGCAGCCUCCGGGAAACCUGAGCUUUUGGGUUCCGGGGGUAG
rnacentral:rRNA from 1 species